rnacentral:rRNA from 1 species
GACGAACCGUGCGAACGUUGUUCGGAAUCACUGGGCUUAAAGGGCGCGUAGGCGGGUCACCAAGUCCGGGGUGAAAUCUUUCGGCUCAACCGGAAAAGGGCCUUGGAUACUGGUGACCUGGAGGAAGGUAGGGGCAUGCGGAACUUCCGGUGGAGCGGUGAAAUGCGUUGAUAUCGGAAGGAACGCCGGUGGCGAAAGCGGCGUGCUGGACCUUUUCUGACGCUGAGGCGCGAAAGCCAGGGGAGCGAACGGG